GCGGGAGUAGCUCAGACUGGUAGAGCGAUUCCUUGCCAAGGAAUAGGUCGCGGGUUCAAGUCCCGUCUCCCGCU
rnacentral:tRNA from 1 species